GACGAAGGGGGCUAGCGUUGUUCGGAAUUACUGGGCGUAAAGCGAGUGUAGGUGGUUGUCAUAGUCAGGUGUGAAAGCCUUGAGCUCAACUCAAGAAAUGCACUUGAUACUGGGCGACUAGAGGACCGAAGAGGAUAGUGGAAUUCCCAGUGUAGUGGUGAAAUACGUAGAGAUUGGGAAGAACACCAGUGGCGAAGGCGGCUAUCUGGACGGUUUCUGACACUAAGACUCGAAAGCGUGGGGAGCAAACAGG
rnacentral:rRNA from 1 species